rnacentral:rRNA from 1 species
AUUGGACGCUGGCGGCAUGCCUUACACAUGCAAGUCGAACGGCAGCACGGGAGCAAUCCUGGUGGCGAGUGGCGAACGGGUGAGUAAAGUAUCGGAACGUGCCCAGUCGUGGGGGAUAACGUAGCGAAAGUUACGCUAAUACCGCAUACGAUCUAUGGAUGAAAGCGGGGGAUCGCAAGACCUCGCGCGAUUGGAGCGGCCGAUAUCAGAUUAGGUAGUUGGUGGGGUAAAGGCUCACCAAGCCGACGAUCUGUAGCUGGUCUGAGAGGACGACCAGCCACACUGGGACUGAGACACGGCCCAGACUCCUACGGGAGGCAGCAGUGGGGAAUUUUGGACAAUGGGCGCAAGCCUGAUUCAGCCAUGCCGCGUGCAGGAUGAAGGCCUUCGGGUUGUAAACUGCUUUUGUACGGAACGAAAAGGUUUGACUUAAUACGUUGGACUCAUGACGGUACCGUAAGAAUAAGCACCGGCUAACUACGUGCCAGCAGCCGCAGUAA